UUUGACCUCAAAUCAGGUAAGAAUACCCGCUGAACUUAAGCAUAUC
rnacentral:rRNA from 1 species